GCUAAUAGAUGACCCUCUUCCUCUCUCACCUAGCCCCUCGUCUCCUGUAUCUCCCAGCACCCCAACCUCCACUGACUCAGCCUAACACACCAUCAUCCCCACCACCACUUCUCAGCCUUCCAGUGUGCUUGCUGUCUUCCCACUUCUGCUAGAAGAGGAGUCCUUGCAGGAGAGGAUCUGCCUGUGUUGGAGAAAUUCUUUGGUGUGUCUUUGGGAGCAGAUCGGCUAGAAGCACAGAAAUAACGUCACCACGAGCAGACCUCAACCAAAGACUGAUGGUUGAUGGUAUAUAAAUACUCCAACCCUCGCUCCCUUGGGUGAGAUAAAUCUGAGACGUGUUCUACACCAUUGCCCAGAUCCCCCCAGUUGGAUUAACCUUUAGUUACCCACGUGGGAACUUGCUUAAUAAUAAACAUUUAGUUGAAUCUCUCC
rnacentral:lncRNA from 1 species